UUGCUUCAGCAGCACAUAUACCAAAAUUGUAUGAAACAAAGAUGAUUAGCAUGGCCCCUGUGUAAGGAAGAGAUGCAAAUUUGUGAAGCAUUCUAUAUUUUU